CCCCAAAUCUCCCGAAUUCAUAUUUCUGUGUUAGAAAAAUGCACACAUUUCAUUCCAGAAUGUAUUGCUAAAAAUGUGUGGACUGCCUUUUCUGUGCAGGACUAUGUGGCUGCAAGGUAUUCUUCACUAUGACACCUGGGAGACUUGAUUCUUGGUAAGCCAGUGACCCCAUUAGUAGCCACUGAGUUGAAGUACGGACUGCCUCUGAAGAAGCACUCUGGGGUAGGAGGGCUCUCUGCCCUGGUGGCUGUUGGGGUGGUUCCAGAGUGAAUCAUGGCUCCAGUGGCCUGGAGGGUCUUAACUGGCCCCACUGCCCUCAAGCGGUCGAAGAGGGGCUGUACUGUGCAUCUACGAGCACAAAACCCAGCAAAGCCAGCAAUGUGAGCCAGCUGUUGAAGUUGGCCCAUUAGGAGGAGAAAGCUGCCUCAUUUUAAUCACUCAUCAGAACCACUGAGCAUAUUUUCCCUGAGGGCACAGGUGGAGGAAUCUAGGCAGCUCUGUUCAGGUUGGGGGGGUGUGGGAUGUUCUCAGGGACCCUACAAACAGACCCCUGGGAGCCACGGGUGUUAGAGGAUCCUUGGGCCCAAUCAGGCAUCCAGUCCGAAAGGGCUCUGUGUGUGGCCAGUUUCAAGCUGCCACCUUUGAAAGCAUUUCAGGGAGUAACCAGUCUGGACCAUGGUGGUACGUAGGUUUGGGGCACCAAACUGAGCCCAACAGCCCAUGAGGUUACCAGCAGACAAAAGCAAGGUGGUAGUGAGGGGCUUGACUGUGCACCCUCAGGCUGAGCCUGAUCAUCGGGGACCCACGGUGAGAGAUGUCUGACAGGUCGUGAAUAGGAGGCCCAGGCCUGAGGGACUGUGUGGAGCCGAAAAGAUGAAUAGGAGGGAGGGAGAGUCUGGGCCCUGGAGCAGGCUGUGGAUUGACCCCUGUGACCUCAAGACAGACCCCAGGGAGCACUGGUUGUGUGAGAAGCCUUGGGACCCACGAAGCCCCCAGUUCCAAAAGGGUCUGUCUGUGCCAGCCUGAAGCUGCUGCCUUUGGAAGAAUUUCAAGGAGUAACCCCUCUCCACCCUCGGAUGGUGCAGUUUGGGACACAGGCCCAAGCCCAACAUUCCCGGAGGGGCUCAGCUGAAAAAGUUGGUAGGGCAGGUAAAUGAGGAGGGCUGGCUACACAUGCCGAGGCCGCUCAGGCCUGAGGGGAAGCCUGGACCUGAGUUGGGAGACCACAGCCCCAGCCCCAGAGCAGGCUUCUAGGGGGCCAGUCUGAUCCCAACAGCCCAGCAUGGCCCUGACCAGCAGGGUGGCCUUGGAGGCCAGUGAUGGGGGCUGAGCACACAUGGCUGUUACAUGGCUGCCACAGGACCCACAUGGCCUGAACCUUAAAGAAACAGCAAUAAGCAGAGCCUAGGCCUGGGACCAAGCUCUCAGUGGCUCGUGGCAUCUGCGGAAUCCAAGCCACAUCCUAGACAAUUGCAUGUGUCACCCUUGAAGCAGAGCUGGAGGAAUCUGGGCUGACUUGACAGGGAAGAGGCCAGGUCACGGGUGCCCCUGAUACCAGUCUCACUGGAAGCCUUAGCUGACAUGGACGUACGUAUCUCCUCCCCUGGAGGCCAAGCUGUAAGCAAUUGCACUGCCUUAUCAAUACACCAGCUGGCUGGGGUAUGCUUCCACAGAAGACCCCUGGGGGCCUUGAUUGAUGGUGAAGCUGGGGACUCCAUUUGGCAGGCAGACAGGCUACAUGGGGACUGACUGCCACCUCUGGAAACUUCUGAGGGUUGGCUCAGUAUUGUGACCUCAGGGUUGGGAUCCUGCUGCCCAGGAGGCUAUGUGGGUGCUUUGGGUGUGGGCAGAGCUCCACAGGCAGAGAGAGAUCCGGCUUCCUCAAAACAGGUGAAAGGGUGGCUAGUGUGCGUGAUGAGACGUGCAGGUGCAGGCAGCCAGGGACCGGCAGAGGCAAGUGUAUGGAGAGAUUGGGUGUUGUGGGUAGGCCUUGGGCUGUCCAAGUCCUUUGCCUGAUUCCCAGCUUUGUGCUCCAUAGAUGAGCAUACUUUUCCUCCCAAAGGUAAAGCCAGUGGAGCAUGGACUGCCUUGGCCAGACAGGGCCGGUCUGUCUGGGCCUGGGAACCCGGAUUCCUGGUAAGCCCAGAGCCCCAUCAGGGAGGCAGCCAGCUGCGUGGGUACUGACUGUUGGCUCAUAAACAUUUUGUAGGGGAGGGUAUCUUCUGCCCUGGAGGGUGUUCAGGUGGUUUGAGAGCCACUUGAGGCCCCAGAGGCCUCAGGCAGGCCUGUCUGGAGUUGUCUGGGGGACCCACCAAACACAGACCCCUGGAAGCCCUGGGGCCAGCCAAGUGUGCAGUGCAAGAGGAGUCUGGCCAGUUUCAAGCUGCCACAUCAGAAAGAAUUUGGGAGAGGAAGCUCUCUGGACCCUGGGAUGUGCAGGUCUAGGCAAACUGACCAAGCCCAACAGGCCAAGGGGAAAUUAGCAGACUUCUGGGUGUCCUUCACAGGUGGGCCUACUGGGCCUCACUAUCCUGCCCAGGGGGGAUUUGAAGAGACCAGGCAGGUAAGGACCUUUUUUAGGGGCAGGUUUGAGGAGGAGAACAUGUUUCUUUUCUGGGAAACAAUAUCUGUUUUUUCAGAGUGAAGUAAAUUUUGCCCCCAGAGGUCCACCCUAGGACCCCAGGAUGUGACCUCAUUCAGGAGUAGGACCUUUGCAGAUAGUGAGUGUGCAUGAACUGGGAGAGAGACAGAGGGAAAGAGAAUCCCAAGCAGGCUGCACACUCAGCACGGAGCCUGACACGGGGCUUGAUGCCACCACCCUGGGAUCAUGACCUGAGCCAAAAUUGAGAGUCAGAUGCCCAAUGGACUGAGCCCCCCCAGGAGGCAGCCUGCACUUGAUGGACAAAAUUCCCGUCCAAAGACCAAAGCACCUUUGAGCAUUAUCUGCAGUAUUCCGCCAUUUGCACACAUAACCGCAGCUGAGGAAGCACUGAACAACCAGAAACAGCUGUUCGUAUAUCUUCCUCCUGUCAACUCGCUCACAGUCCCCUCAAGUCACUCGCUCCCAGUCCUUCUCAGAGAGGAGACCAGAGGUCUUCACAGAGGAUCCUCGAGGGGACAGAGGGACAGUGUCUGCAAACAAGAAACUGAGGGCUCCUGCUUCCGAGGAGGAUGGAAUGAGAGCCGCCAUUGAAUCUGGAGCUCCAUUAACCAUUGUCUUAUCCAGUGAAGACCAUCCUGAGGGACGGCCAAGAACAUGGCUGGGUGGUGAAGGAGGAGGAGGCACGGUACAGGUAUAGGCAACAUUCAAGGGGAGGCCUUGUUGCCUGGAGGCCAGAGGUCAGUGGUCAGGACCUGGGCUGGUGUCUUCCUGGUCAUGUGGGGUGUUGCUUUUGGUCCAAGUCCAUUUGUAGUGGACAGAAACUGGAGAGUCUGGACAGCCUCCGGAUCAGGUCUCUGAGUGCUCUCCUGGGUGAUCUGGCAUGGAAUGUGUCUUAGUUUAUUUGGGGGCUUAAGGCGCGUCUGGACGGGCAUCUGGUCAAAUCUCUUGCCGGAUGCCUCGAGGCUGAGCUUAUUGUCCUGGCCCCGUAUACAUGCAGCAGGAUGUGAGUUCAGUGUUGAGGGCAUAUUAUGACACUUGAUUUGUGUCUGUUGGGUUAGGACUGGCUCAGGCUAUGUGGUUUAGAGGCAGCCAGGGGAACGUCACGGGAGUAAACUUGAGGCCUGUUGUGUGUCAGCAUGACGAUGAGGGCAGGAUCCUGGCCAAAGUGCUUGGAUGCUGGCAGAAGGGCAUCAGUGACAGCCACUUCCUGUCUUAUUGUUUUGUCCCUGAAGUGAGGUGAAGCUCAGUUCAGGUUUUUUGAUGGGAGACCCUGUAGGGCGCAUGGGUCUCAUACCAGGUUUCUUUCCCGGCAGCUGACUUGUGACAAUAGGGCCCAGGGUAGAUGUCUUCUUGGUUGCGUAGACAAGCACAGGCCUGUUUGGAUGCUGUGGGAGAAGACCCCACACGUACACACAAACGUGUAUGUACCUAUGUAUGUGUGUACGUAUGUGUGUACACACACACAGUCGACCCUUGAACAACACAGGUUUGAAUUGCAUGGGACCACUUAUUCGUAGCUUUUUUUCAAUACAGUAAAACGUUGUAAAUAUAUUUUCCUUAUGUUUUCUCAAUAUCAAUUUCUUUUCUCUAGCUUAGUUCGUUGUAAAAAUACAGUGUGUAACACACAUGCCCUACAAAUGCGUGGUAACUGACCGAUUAUGUUAUCGGGAAGGCUUCCAGGCAACACUAGGCUAUUAGUAGCUCAGUUUUGGGGAAGUCAAAAGUUCUACUCGGAUUUCCAACUGGUGGUCUAUGUGUUAAUUAGCUUGACUGUGGGAAUCCAUCACAGUAUAUAUGUAUGUAUAUCAAAGAAUCGUGUUGUAGAUAGAUUUUAACAUGAUAUGGGGGAAGUUGGCCAGGGUGUGCCCUUUCACUGCGCAUUUACGUGGGGAUCCUGGGCUUGUGGCCUGGGAAGAAGCGGUGCUCCAUGAGAGGGACCCUGCAGGGAAGUGGGCUGGUUAUGGGCAGAAUGUGUCCUGGUCUUGUCCAUGUCUGUAGGCUCUGUAGAGAAUAUCUGGACUGCCUAGUAUCAGUAGUCUGGUUUACUCUCCAUUUCUGUUCCUUAGCACGUUUGCUACCGGUUUAUGAAUAUUAUUAUUAACCAUAACAACUUCCCCCUUGUUUAUUUUUAUAUUGUCUCUUUCUGUGUCAUUAUUUUAUCCUCUUUAUUAUUUUCUUACUUCUGUAUUACAGCGUUUGUAUUUUUUUUUUUUUUUUCUUACUUCCUGAGAAGGAAACCGACGUGACGGAUCUGAGUCUUGCCUGUAUUCAGCCGUGUCCAUGUCAGUCUCUAAAUGGACGCCUAAGCACUGAUUUAGUUGAGUCCUAUGUCUUCCCUCUCGUCUCCUCAAAUCCUGUGCCUGCCGGCCGUGUGUGCCCUCUGGGGCCUCCACCCCAUGUGCCCGCAGCCCAAAUCUGUUCUCCAGGAUCGCCACGCCAUGUCCUCCUCUGUGUAUUUACAACCCCUGUGCCGGUGACCCAUGUCUGUCAUCGUGUUUUUCUAAUCCCUCUGCCAGCAGUUCUUGACAGUCUCAAAAGCCUGCGUUCCCUGUGCCUGCACCCUCUGCCAGCCCACGUGAUGCUUCAUCCCUUUUCACAGUCCCAUCAUGGAACUCAUUUCACCGUCUCUUCAUCCCCACGGCCCAGGACAGUUCAUGUGUUUCUCCUGGCAGGAGCUGAGCUGACCUUGGGGAGAGACAUCUGAGUUGCCAGGUGUCAGAGUAGCAGACAAAGCAUCAAGUCAUAAAUGAAAGAUUUAAGCCUAUAAUGACUUAUUGUGGUGGCACAAGCAAGAGCCUUAGCCGCAGAAGUUCUGACUCCCCCACCCGCCACCCUGUUCUAUUCCUCAUCACCUGGGAUGUUGUACAGAUCACGGAUCGGGUGAACACAAAUGUGGGCUUGGUCUCACUGUUGAGGAAACCCCAAACAAAAGGUGUGGCAUUUUCACAGACCCUUGGGCUGGAGGGAGAGUGACAAGUGCUAGGGGCAGGAAAGCACUGGGCACUGUGUCAGAGUUGGACAAGCGUUUUCAGGGUUUUCCCGUCUUCUCCCCCUGGGAGGGGAUCUCAGCAGAAUCAACUGCAGAGCAGCUCAUCCCCAGAUGCAGGUGAAGAGAAGCAUGUGUGUUGUAGGAGAUGCUGUCCUUCCCUGAGGUUUCUUUAUGCUGAAAUCCAAGCACUUGCCAAGCACCAGAUUCCUGAGUGGCACCAUCAUUUAAUUAUGAAUGGAGAAAUGGGAUCACACAAAGAACUUUCGGAGAAUUGGUCCACAGUGACCACCCGCCAUCUGCCCCACCUCCUUGGAGGUUCACGUCAGCCUUCCCUCGGAUACGGAUUUCUGGAUUUCCUGAGUCUAAUGAAAAAGGACAGUCAUUCACACAGACACAGGACUCCUUCAUGUGCCUUCUUCUCCCAGGAGGCGUGAGGGGGAGCCAUAACCACCAGGUCAAACAGAGUCCUCACCCUGUGUGACCUCUCCUUCCUGCCUGUCCUGCACACUCUCCCGAGGACCCAACCCCAGGAGGGCACCCUCAGGCAAGGCAAGUAAGGUGGUCUUGAUCGACUCACUGGGGAGACUUCCAUGAAGCCUGUCACAAUGUACUCCGGAAGCAAAGUCACACAAAGUCCUAACCCCGAUGGACACCAGAAUCGAUGCUAUGGCAACACCCUCUGUGGCACACAGAGUUGCAUGUGGAAAAGGAAGUAUGCUUGUCUCUCAAAAAUAUGAAUUUCUGGGGCGCCUGAGUGGCUCAGUCAGUUAAGCGUCCGACUUCGACUCAGGUCAUGAUCUCGAGGUUUGUGAGUUUGAGCCCCGUGUAGGGCUGUGUGCGAGCAGCUCAGAGCCUGGAGCCUGCUUCGGAUUCUGCGUGUCUCUCUCUUCUCUGCCCCUCCCCUGUUCGUGCUCUGUCUCUCUCUGUCUCUCAAAAAUAAAUACAUGGGAAAGAAAAUUAAAAACAACAUCUGAAUUUCCCAUUUGACACAA